CAAUUACUCCCUCUGUCCCAAAUUUCUUGUCUUAGAUUUGUCUAGAUACAGAUGUAUCUAAUACUAAAAUGUGACUUGAUACAUCCGUAUCUAGACAAAUCUAAGAUAAGAAUUUUGGGACGGAGAGAGUACUUU
rnacentral:pre_miRNA from 1 species